CUUAUGCAAAAGUGUGUGCUGCGGCCUUAAAGAUGAAUUCUUACGUUAUGCAAGCAGAUUUCAAGAAAUUACUAUGUCUUAUGUACUAAUUUUUCUAACCUAUUUUAGGAGAUUUCAUCUAGCAAAGGAGAUUUCAUUUAGCAAAUCUAAAAAGGAAAAUAAUAUUGGUUAUUGAAAUGGAUCAUAGUUUUUAUUUUUAUGAUUCUCAAUAUCAAAAUGAUUUUAAUGAAUUAAAUAAUGAAGAUGAUUCACAAAAUGAAAAGGAGAAUUCUUAUGGAAUAGAUCAAAAUGGAAUAGAUGGAGAUGCUUCCCAGAUAGCCAAGCUUGAUAUGACAUAUUCAGCAAACAAAUGCAUCGCAUGUAUUAUUAUAUAUUUGCAGUAUACUUGCUGACAUCGAGAUAGAAUACGUUACGAAUGCAGCUAUAUGUCUGCUUCUAUAUGCAAAUAAUUAACGAAGCAAAUGGUCUGCAAUAUUGAUAUAUUACGUUGUCUACAACAUGUCAGCAAUAUGUUGACACGUUGCAAUUAAUUUGUUGUUAUUAGCACAUGAAUUCAUGUGAGUUCCACGUAACAGACAUUAUGCUGUCUCACCUUGUCUCUAGUUUGUUAAAAUUAGUUGAUUCAAUAAUUAUUGGCAACAUGACAGCAACCUCAUUGCAUUUGGCUAUCUGGGUUUGCUCAUAUCUUUAGUGCGCAACUAUCCCUAUUUAUAUAAUAAAGAGUUAACUGACUUCAAAGAUAUUAUUAAAAAGCAGAAUGCCUGGACAGAAAUAGGAAAUAUAUUAAAUAUGACAGCGGACGAGUGUCAAUCUAGGUGGACACGAUUAAGAGAACGAUAUGCAAGAGAGAAAAAGCAAAAAUAGGAAGAAACAACUACUGGAAGUGGUGCUUUAAAGAGGAAGUCUUUCGAAUUUUUUGAAAAUAUGCAGUUCUUAGAACGAUUUGUUAAGAGAAGAAGAACAAUAUCCAAUGUGUAUAAGAAAACAUACCUCCAUCAACAAAAUGUAUCAAUCUUCAAAAAAAUUUUGGUUCACGUGGCGGAGAAAACUCAACUUCUUCAAUGAUCGAGUCUACUUUAAUUUUACCAUCUUCAAAAGAUAGCAGUGAAAAAACAGAUUCAGAAAAAAAUAUAAUUAAAAUAGAUUUAACUGAAAAUAGAUUUAAUGAAAAACGAAUCAAUAAAUCUCCUAUACCUAAUAGUUUAGUUCAGCAAUCUUUAACAAAAGAUACAGAUUUGACACAUAAAUAUAAAAGAUUCAAUUUCAGAUGAUUGCUCAAAUAAUACCUCUUCAUCAGUAUUAAAUAUUUCUAAUGAUUUGAGGAAGAAAAAUUUUACUGUACAACGAAAAAUCACCGGACGUCAUAGAAAAUGCUAUUUGUAAAGUUUCAUCUCUAUUAGAGAACAAAUUCAUUCCAACAGCUGCAUCAUCAUCAUCAAUAUUAAAUCUAGAAAUAACAGAAAAUAUGGCUUUUUGCCAAUUAAUAUUAUCUUCACUUAACGCGAUGUCUCCACAAAAAAAUGCAGAGAAAAAAAAAGAAAUGCUACGUAUUAUAUACGAUAUUUAAAAUCUAAAAUCUUAAUAGAACUCCGAUUAUCCAGACGAUUAGUUAUCCAAAAGUUUGCUGCAAAAGAUUUUGUUUACGAUUUUUUUCUUGUUAUGAUUAUUAUAUAAUAAAUAGUAAAUACAUAUAUAAUUUAUUUCAGGACGUUCUAUUUUUUGGAUAAUCGGUGUUCUGUAUAUCACUGAUACUGAUGUAAUACUGAUGACGCUGUGAUGUAUUACUACACACUGUGAUAUU